rnacentral:rRNA from 1 species
CAAUAAGCGGAGGAAAAGAAACCAACAGGGAUUGCCUUAGUAACGGCGAGUGAAGCGGCAACAGCUCAAAUUUGAAAUCUGGCCCUUGGGUCCGAAUUGUAAUUUGUAGAGGAUGAUUUUGGUGCGGUAUCUUCCGAGUUCCUUGGAACAGGACGCCUUAGAGGGUGAGAGCCCCGUACGGUUGAAUGCCUAGCCUCUGUAAAUCUCCUUCGACGAGUCGAGUAGUUUGGGAAUGCUGCUCUAAAUGGGAGGUAAAUUUCUUCUAAAGCUAAAUAUUGGCCAGAGACCGAUAGCGCACAAGUAGAGUGAUCGAAAGAUGAAAAGCACUUUGAAAAGAGGGUUAAAUAGCACGUGAAAUUGUUGAAAGGGAAGGAUUUGUGACCAGACUUUUUCUGGGCGGAUCAUCCGGGGUUCUCUCCGGUGCACUUUGCCCAGUAAAGGCCAGCAUCGGUUUUCGGCGGGGGAUAAAAGCAGUAGGAAUGUGGCUCUCUACGGGGAGUGUUAUAGCCUAUUGUAUAAUACCCUGCUGGGGACCGAGGUACGCGCUUCUGCAAGGAUGCUGGCGUAAUGGUUAUCAAUCACCCGUCUUGAAACACGGACCAAGGAGUCGAACAUUUGUGCGAGUGUUUGGGUGUUAAACCCUCACGCGUAAUGAAAGUGAACGGAGGUGAGAGCCCUUACGGGUGCAUCAUCGACCGAUCCUGAAGUUUUCGGAUGGAUUUGAGUAAGAGCAUAACUGUUCGGACCCGAAAGAUGGUGAACUAUGCGUGGAUAGGGUGAAGCCAGAGGAAACUCUGGUGGAGGCUCGCAGCGGUUCUGACGUGCAAAUCGAUCGUCAAAUCUGCGCAUGGGGCGAAAGACUAAUCGAACCAUCUA